GGGCAUGAUAAAACACGGAUUGAUAGCCCCGGGUGCGUUUCACGGCUGCGGUGUUCCCCGAGAGCCAGCAAAUUGGCAAAUGUGACAAACUGCCAGGAGACGCAGAUGCUGCUGGGCCUGGACCACGCUGCACACUCACUGCCCCGCUUCACCAGGGGCCCGGCGUCCAGCGGGGGGCCAGGGCUGUGUCAUCCGAACGUACCAGAAAAACAGCCUGUCAGCUUGGGACACAGGACCUUGAACAGGACAGGUGCCAGGCGUAAAUGGAAGGCGAGCUUGGCAAAUUGACUGAUACAGAGUCGGGUUCCAGGACUGGAAUAUCGUUUCCAGCGAGCUACGGACAGAAAACAAACCUGAGACUUUGGGAAUGGGCUCACCCAGGCAGGUGCUCAAUUGUCCAACUUGGUUGGCUUUCUGGAAGGAAAGAGAGAGACUAAAAUGUAGGGAUUCUUAACCUGUUUUUGGUGCCAUGGCCGUCUUGUGAGGCCCAUGGACCCCUUCUCAGAAUAAUGCUUUAAGCGCAUGAAAUAAAACAUUGACGAUUAUAAAGCAAACUACGCUUCUCGAAAUUAAAAACAAACGUUGAUAGCAUAGUAUUGUUUCUUUACUAAUGCAUUAAGAUCUAGCACCAGGUGUAAUGACAACUAGAUUUCAGAGAGACGAUAAAAGAUAUUUUGACAUAACUGUAACAUCAGAAAUGUAACGUGAAAACACCUGUAACUUCUAUUAGUGCAAAGAGACAGGUUCUUCUAAUACUAUUGUGGUGAAUAUUCAUAAUUGGGAAAUGCUGAAUUUUGCUUAGAGGUUAGCGAAAAUGUGGAUGUAAUCUUUCUUCCCCAUCCACGUUUUGGGAUUCCCCACAACCCUGCAGUUUUGUCUAUGGACCAGGUAUCUGUAGACCCCAAGUUAAGAACACCUGGCUUUAAUAAUCUUUUCUAGUUAAUGAUGACAGGUACCACUUACUGAGUGCUUACUAUUUGUCUGUUGGACUUAUACGUAAUAUUAUUACGUAUUUUCAUAGCCAUUCUGUGAUUUAGUUAUAACUAUUGAAAAGAUGUAGGAAUGGAGGCUUUCCUAGGUUAAAUAAUUUGCCUUAAAAAUUCAAAUUCUUAACUCUCAGGUAUCUUACUACAAUUUUGGUCUUCCAAUCUUGAUGUAAAUGAGUAAUACUUUUUAAAUACAAACUUAGGUAUAAGGUUUUAGAGCUGGUUCCAAAACAAGGAGAAUCAGGCAUUUUUUUUGGUUGCCCAUUUGUUGAUUACAACUAUGAUGGUUUGUGUUCUUUGGUUUUAACACCUCUGUAAGCAUGUUUUAAAGUAAUUUUUAACACUACUGUGAUGAAGCACAGGACAUACAAAAUGCAUAUCUCUUUCUGUUUUCUUUCUUAGCCAUUUUAUAUUACAUUGUUUCUCAGAAGGAGACAAGGGUGGUUUAGUGAAGAAUAAAAUAACAAGGGUACAUAGAGAAGUUAAACACACACACACACACACACACACACACACACACACACACACACACAGAGUAUCUUCGGGAUUUCAUGAUCAUUACCCCUGGGAGAACUCCUUUCUACUUCCUAGUGUUGUGUCAGAGACCCCCAGGACCUCAGAAAUCUUUAAUAAAAGGCAAUCACAUAGGUUAGAUACAAUUAUCUUAAAAACUCUUCCGAUUUUCUGGUCAUUGGUAGGCCUGUUUUAGGCUUACACUGUCUAACACAGAAACCAUUUUUCACAUGUGGCCACUGGGCGGGGACUUGUAGUGUGGCUGGUCCAAAUUCAUACAUGUUCUAAGUAUAAAGUAUACACUGGCCUUUCAAAGGUUUAAAUUGUUUCCAUUUCAUUUAUUUCCUUUUCCUUUUUAAGAUGUGGCUACUAGAAAAUUUAAAAUUACACGUGGGUUGCUCACUGUUUCUAUUAGGGCUGGUUUAGAGUAGAAGGGUUGACCUGUAUGUAAAGUUACCGUAAAAGGAAUAAACUGAAGCAUUUAAAAACUACUCUUUUUAGUUCUAACAGGUACUGGCCUAGUUGAACGUAAUUAUAUCCCGCCUUAUUUCAGAAAGGAUUAUAGAUCACCUGCAGGGAAAAAAGACUAUUGACUAAAGGAAUCAGGAAAGAAUAAAAAAAAGGUAGAAUGGUUGAAAAAUAAAAGCCCCAAAGCUAAAGUUAGACCCCAGGUCUGGAUCUUAACUGGUUAAGACAAAGGGAAAAUCAAUGAGAAAAUUUGUAUGUCUACAGGAUGAAAACAUACCAGUUGUGCAGGAGGAAUGACUUUGCCCGGCCCUGAGCCACAGUAGAUGUUUCUCUUGGGUCCUCAUAAAGGAGACACUGUGAUGUAGUGAACAGCAUCCCCAGCAGUUUGCCUACCACGAAGACAAUGGUGGAGAGUAAAUUCAGGAAAUUCAUCUUGGUUGACAACACAAGUCCACUACAUGUAUUUGGAAUAAAUGAAUGAGCUUCUCCUUGGCGUCCAGCCUGAGGUUAAACCUUUCGCUGUGAAGGUGUCCCUUGCCAUGUGGAUGUGCUACAGUGGUGAACACGUAUGUGUGUGCAAAUUUUCUAUCCACCGAUGGUGCACAUUUCUUACAGUACUAAAAACUGGUCCUUCAGAAGACCUUUACAAAUGUGUAUUUCUGUAAGUGCUAUUUUGUAGCAGGGAAACUUUGGGUUGCUUUAUGGCAGAGAAAUGAAUCAGCCUAUAAAUUA